AGUGGCAUUUGUUUUCCUGCUAGAAUGGACUGUUUUGUAAAACUGAAAUGAAAAAAUGUGAAUGUACAAUUCAUUUCAGUUUUACAAAACAGUCCAUUCUAGCAGGAAAACAAAUGCCACU